UGAGCUGGGAGGAAACAGUUGCUUUGGAGAAAUGCCACGUUCCAGAUAUGAGACUCAGUGAGCUGGUGAAGCUGGGAAGCCAGGGAGUCCAUGUUGCAAUGUGAGGAAGUUGAGGGCAAGAACUCUGAAGACA